rnacentral:rRNA from 1 species
AUAACUCGAUAAUCCACGCAUACUCAACCUUCUCUAGAAUACAGCAUGUGUACUGCCGUUGUAAGCAUACCUUUAAAAGAUAAGUAUGCCACUAUGAUAGCAACUCAUAUACAUCAGGUCAAAGUGCAGCUAAUAAGAAGGUGAUGAUGGGUUACAACCCCAAAACAGACUAUCAACUAAGAGAUUAAAAAUCUUACGAAAGUGGACUUGGCCGUAAUCAAUUCUAGCUUAAAAAAAUGAAUAAGAUCUAAGACAUGUACACAUCGCCCGUCACUCUAUCCUAAAGGUUAGAUAAGUCGUAACAAAGUAGGUGUAAUGGAAAUUGCACCUGUCGGGGUAUAGCAUAUAUAAUGCUUUUUACUUACACUAAAAACAAAGUUUCCAACUUACUUCGCCCAAAAACUCAAUCUUUUAAUUUAUUUAACAUUUAAACAAUUAAAUUAAUAACUAUACAGUACAGAAAUGGAAAAAACAAUAAAUAAAAGUAAAUUUUAAUAAAUAUACCUUGUGCAUUAUGGUUUUACAAGAAAAAAAUUAAAAUAUAAAUCCCGAAUUCUAAAUGAGAUGUUAAAAUACUGUCACGAACCCAUUAAUAGCUGUGAAAAAAGCUUUAAAAGAUAUUCUAACAGAGGCUACAUACCAUUCGCACAAGAAUAUAGCUGGUUUUCAACAAACAUUAUACAUUAAAACAUAUAGUAGCACUAUAGUGUAAUAUUAUUGAGGAUAAGCCCAAUAAUUAAAGCAAUAAUAAAACAUUCUGAUAUACACCAUAGGCCUAAAAUCAGCCAAUAAAAAUACCUUACCGUAAAAUACUAAGAUAAAAUAUAUGUUAUCAAAUGCUAAAUAAAGUUGAAACAGUGGGACAACCUUAGGCCCACGCCUAUAAUGUAAAAAUUAGUAUUAUAAAUAAAUAUUUAACAAAAUCAAGAAUAAGCACCACACACAAAAUAAUAAUUAAUUAAGGAACUCGGCAAAUUAUUAUUUCGACUGUUUAACAAAAACAUUGUCUUAUGAAGAUACAUAUAAGAUAAUACCUGCCCAG